CCCGCCCCUCGCUAGGCUGCACCGCCCGCCCCGCUUCCGCCCCAUCCCUCUCCAGGCCGCGCCUCCGCCUCCGGCCCGCCCUCGUCUCCGCCCCUGCGGGGGCUGCUCGUUAGGCCCCGCCCUGCACCCCCGUCACCCACGCCGCGCGACCCGCAGCCGCCGCCAGGGCCCUCUGCUGCCGCGGAGGUGCUAGGACAGCCGCGGACGGCCCGCCUCCCCGUGCCCCGGGCCUCGAGGCCAAUAAAAAGCUCGCCCCUCCAGCUCACCGGGUCCGACGGGUACGGUACAAAGUGCUGUCUCUCGCCACAGCCACCUUUGUGACAAUAAAAGCAAUAAGGCUAAUGUCCAUGGGGCGCUCACGUUUAUGCAUGAACAGAGAAAGCUGAGAUACGGAGACUAGUGAUCCGUCGAGGUAAUAAACGGCACAGGUGGGGUUUGAACUCCAUCAGUUUGAUUGCAGAGGCCUGGAACAACCCUACAGCCUUCUCUCAGAUCUUUUCUGGACCUUUUUCUAUGCGCUUUGAAUGUGAGCUCCAGGAGGACACGACCCUCCCUGUUUCCUUGUUCCCUGCUGUGUCCCAGUACCAAGCACAGUGUCUGAUAUACACCUAGGACGUGAGGCUGCCAAGCUUGGUAUUCAAUAAAUAUUGAUGGAUGAAGGAACAAUGGAAGAAAGGAGUGCAUGGGUAAACAAAUGACAAAUAUGUCAAAGCACGGAUGCAGAUUCUUAGAAUGGGCUAAUGCUGUUUUCUGCUGGAUUUUUGGAUGUGUACAAACGAGUUCUCUCACAAUACAGAUCCACAGUGUCUGGGUCAGAGGAGAACUGAUGCUCCGCAUGGCAUUUUACCAUCCUGCCUGCCUGCCUGGGGCCCUGGGCCCACAGGCUUUGGGGAGAGUGUAUGGCCAGGCUGCAGCCUUCCUGGGAUAAAGCUCUGCCUUUUAGUCUCUUAUCCUACUUUUUAGAAGCCCUUUAAGGUCUUUGUUAAAGGAAAUCUAAUGUGAAGAAUUCCAGGAGAACUGGAUAAGCCUGACUAUGGGUGGGCGUGACUGAAUUACUUCCCGGGCUGGCUAAGGAAGGCCUCCCCCGAAGUGCAUCGGAAGCCUGCAGCUUCUCCUUAUGGCCACUGGAGGGCACUUGGACCAUGAAAUACCAGAUCGUCUCGGCGUCCCAGGUCUUUGGAAAUGUGUGAUUCAAUUCAGCAAACGUUUCAAAAUCAUCACUAUAAAGAUAGCGCUUUUGUGUUGAACAUCCAAUAUGGCGCUAAACACCUUAUAUAUAUGUGUGCGUGUAUAUAUGAACUUGCUUAAUAUUAACUACAAUUGUUGUGAGUUACUUAGGCUAUUUAGGAAAAAAAAAUCAAGGCUUAAAGAAGUCAAAGUACUUACCCAAGAUUGCUUAGCUAAAUAAAAUUUGGGAGUAAGGACUUGAACUCAAGCCCUUGGGCACCAACCAUAAGCAAUAGGUGCACACAAAGCUGAAAUGAGGACUCUCUUAUAAGCAGGAAGACGCACACACCACACAAAUAUUAUUGUUCCUCAACAAUUUACACAUUCUGAAAUUGGAAGAUGACUUACAAUUUGUACAUUACAUGGUAAUGUUUCUUUUUUCCCUUGAAAUGAUGUUAUUAAAUAAAUGAAGUGUCUCACAAUUCAUGGUGUCUUAACUUGGAGGAAAUAAAGUCAUAGUAAUACAAGGCAGGGAAAGAUAAUUUUCAUUUAACAUUUAAAUAGCACUUACUAUGUCCCCAGA
rnacentral:lncRNA from 10 species